rnacentral:rRNA from 1 species
CCCUUAGAUGUUCUGGGCCGCACACGCGCUACACUGAUGAAUUCAACGAGUAUACUUUCCGUUCGCGGAAACUCCUUGGUUGAGAUGCCUAGGUAAUCUUUUAAAUGUUCAUCGUGAUGGGGCUAGAUUAUUGCAAUUAUUAAUCUUAAACGAGGAAUUCCUAGUAAACGCAAGUCAUCAGCUUGCAUUGAUUACGUCCCUGCCCUUUGUACACACCGCCCGUCGCACCUACCGAUUGAAUGGUCCGGUGAAGACUCGGGAUCGUGGCUUAGUUGCUUAAUUGUGAUUAGACCGUGAGAACCUGUCUAAACCUUAUCAUUUAGAGGAAGGUGAAGUCGUAACA